rnacentral:rRNA from 1 species
AUUGAACGCUGGCGGCAGGCCUAACACAUGCAAGUCGAGCGGAGCGGCGGACGGGCGAGUAAGGCCUAGGAAUCUGCCUGGUAGUGGGGGAUAACGUCCGGAAACGGGCGCUAAUACCGCUUACUAUCAGUUUCGCCUAGGUCGGAUUAGCUAUUUGGUGGGGUAAAGGCCUACCCAGGCGACGAUCCGUAUCUGGUCGGAGAGGAUGCUCAGUCACACUGGAACUGAGACACGGUCCAGACUCCUAGGGGAGGCAGCAGUGGGGAAUAUUGGACAAUGGGCGAAUGCCUGAGACAGCCAUGCCGCGUGUGUGAAGAAGGUCUUCGGAUUGUAAAGCACGUUAAGUAGGGAGGCGUUACCAACAGAAUAAGCACCGGCUAACUUCGUGCCAGCAGCCGCGGUAAUAC